GCAGAUUUGGGAUUUUGGCUACAAUUUCACAAAGUACCAUGAUUUUUGGGAAUUCUGGUAGCACCUCUGUUUCUGUCUUCUAUCCUCCAACCUUUACUACCCUUUCGAAUUCGUUGUUUUCCCCAAUUUCCCGGCAUUGGAUCUCUCUUGUAAAAGAUCGAUUGCCCAGUAAUUAUUCUCUUGAAAAUCCAAAAACCCACAAAGUAUUAAAAGCUUUGAGUUCAUCUCAAGUAGAAAGCAACAGGGAUGAAGUGGAAUUUCAAGUGGUGACUGCGGUUAAAAGUAGCUACAAUGAUAUUGUAAUAGUGGACACACCAGAAUCAAGAAUGCUGCUUCUUGAUUCUACUUGUAAGAUUUCAGUUUUUCUAAUUUAAUUUAUUAUUCAUUUAUUUGUUUUUUUUCCUUUGAAUAAAUG
rnacentral:lncRNA from 1 species